rnacentral:rRNA from 1 species
UACAGAGGGUGCGAGCGUUGUCCGGAAUCACUGGGCGUAAAGGGUGCGUAGGCGGCGCGGUAAGUCGGGUGUGAAAUCUCGGGGCUUAACUCCGAAACUGCAUUCGAUACUGCCGUGCUUGAGGACUGGAGAGGAGACUGGAAUUUACGGUGUAGCGGUGAAAUGCGUAGAUAUCGUAAGGAAGACCAGUGGCGAAGGCGGGUCUCUGGACAGUUCCUGACGCUGAGGCACGAAGGUCAGGGGAGCAAACGGG